rnacentral:rRNA from 1 species
AGACCCACAAGUCGAGCAGGCACGAAAGUAGGUCUUAGUGAUCCGGUGGUUCUGUAUGGAAGGGCCAUCGCUCAACGGAUAAAAGGUACUCUGGGGAUAACAGGCUGAUACCGCCCAAGAGUUCAUAUCGACGGCGGUGUUUGGCACCUCGAUGUCGGCUCAUCUCAUCCUGGGGCUGAAGCAGGUCCCAAGGGUAUGGCUGUUCGCCAUUUAAAGAGGUACGCGAGCUGGGUUUAGAACGUCGUGAGACAGUUCGGUCCCUAUCUACCGUGGGCGCUGGAAAUUUGAGAGGAUCUGCUCCUAGUACGAGAGGACCAGAGUGGACGAACCUCUGGUGUACCGGUUGUGACGCCAGUCGCAUCGCCGGGUAGCUAUGUUCGGAAGGGAUAACCGCUGAAAGCAUCUAAGCGGGAAGCCUACCUCAAGAUAAGAUUUCCCUAGGACUUUAUGUCCUCUAAAGAGCCGUUCGAGACUAGGACGUUGAUAGGUUGGAUGUGGAAGCAUAGUGAUAUGUGAAGCUGACCAAUACUAAUUGCUCGUGAGGCUUGACUAUACAACACCCAAGCAGUUG